rnacentral:lncRNA from 1 species
AUAUCUCUCUCUUUUCUUUAUUUUGAAUUCCUUUUGUGAAAAUAUCGAUUCCAUCACGACAAGUAUCAAAGGAUAAUUUUAACAUAUAUAUUAGGGCAAACAACAUAAAUUUCGACAGUUUGAAGCUUAGUUAUAGAAAAUUGCGAAAUUUUGUAUAAUUACUGAAAAUUCAGAUUUUGGGUCUGUCGAGAUACAUAAUACAUCCAAC